ACUUGAAUUGAAGAGUUUGAUCAUGGCUCAGAUUGAACGCUGGCGGCAGGCUUAACACAUGCAAGUCGAACGGUAACAUAAAGAAGCUUGCUUCUUUGAUGACGAGUGGCGGACGGG
rnacentral:rRNA from 2 species